rnacentral:tRNA from 1 species
UCAAUGGCCGAAUGGAUAACGCGAGCGCGUUUGAAGCGAACGGUACUGGGUUCGAGUCCCAGAGUGA